CAUCAUUACAUCAUCAAUGCAAAUGUUUUGAGUGUUCUCAAUAAAGUCUACACAUUCUAUUAUUGUUUAACCUAUUUUGUUUGAGUAGGAUGUUCUCUAAAAUUUGAGUAUUUAUUGUAGGUGUGAGUUCAAGAUAAUUUGAAGGAUCAGAAUUCCAAGAAAUGAAAGAAUAUUAGUUUAAACAAAUUAGAAAGGCCUGCUUGGGAUUGGUGGCUACUGGAGCCUAACAGGGCAUAAGGAAGAGAAAGCUUCAAUGUGGAUGAAGAAAGACUUCUGCAGGAGAAAAAAAAAUGAGGGCUCAGCAAAUAACUAUUUUGAAACCCAAAUGAAGAAUUUUUCAGAUAGGCUGCAAAUGAGAGUCCUACUUAUCAAACCUAAGAGAACUAUGCUAAAUGUACCCUCCGUUCUAUAUCACUCCCUAACAAACUCAGAAAUCUAAAUAAAAAUGAAAAUUAUACAUCAUUAGAUCUCCAUCUGUGUGUGUGUGUGUUUCUACUCAGAAUUGUAUUUACUAGCU
rnacentral:lncRNA from 1 species